rnacentral:rRNA from 1 species
UACGGAGGGUGCGAGCGUUGUCCGGAAUCAUUGGGCGUAAAGGGCGCGUAGGUGGCCCGGUCAGUCAGUGGUGAAAGCGCGGGGCUCAACCCCGCGUCGGCCAUUGAUACUGCGGGGCUCGAGCACUGUAGAGGCAGGCGGAAUUCCGGGUGUAGCGGUGGAAUGCGUAGAGAUCCGGAAGAACACCGGUGGCGAAGGCGGCCUGCUGGGCAGUUGCUGACACUGAGGCGCGACAGCGUGGGGAG